rnacentral:rRNA from 1 species
AUUGAACGCUGGCGGCAUGCCUAACACAUGCAAGUCGAACGGCAGCAUGAAAUGGGGUAACCCAUUUUGAUGGCGAGUGGCGGACGGGUGAGUAAUAUGUAGGAAUCUACCUAGAGGUGCGGGAUAACUUAGGGAAACUUAAGCUAAUACCACAUAAGCCCUACGGGGGAAAGCAGGGGACCGCAAGGCCUUGCGCCUUAUGAUGAGCCUACAUCGGAUUAGCUUGUUGGUGGGGUAAAGGCCUACCAAGGCGACGAUCCGUAGCUGGUCUGAGAGGAUGAUCAGCCACACUGGGACUGAGACACGGCCCAGACUCCUACGGGAGGCAGCAGUGGGGAAUAUUGGACAAUGGGCGCAAGCCUGAUCCAGCAAUGCCGCGUGUGUGAAGAAGGCCUUAGGGUUGUAAAGCACUUUCAGUGGGGAGGAAGUUGAGUUUGCUAAUACCAGAUUCAAUUGACGUUACCCACAGAAGAAGCACCGGCUAACUCUGUGCCAGCAGCCGCGGUAA